GAGAGUGUGUCUUGUUUUUUUGUGUAGUUCUCAUUGGUUGUGAAAUAAGAAACAAUUAUUAAACGGAAAAAAGCCACAGAUUAAAAAAAAAAUAACAGAAAUGAAUGAAAAUACCAAUAAUUUAUGAAAAAAUAAAAUAAAUCACGAUGAGAUGUGCAAUAUAAAAAGUUGAAUGUCUUAUGCUCAGAGAAAAACAAUAGAGAGCAUUUACAUUAACAACACAAUGCCGUUUAAAUGUUAGUGUACGUGAAGCCGUCGCAUCUUUUGGGAGGAAAAAAUUAAAGGGGAAAAUUGUUCAGGCAUUGUCGAUUACGCUAAUUAUUCAAAUGUUUAUUGCGGAUAUUAAAAGACAAGAUACAAAACUGGCUUUUUUGCAAAGUUGAAAUUUUAUCUUGGUUGGAAAGGCAACAACAGCAACAAAAAUAUCACUAACAUUCAACAUUUAGAGAUAAAAGAAAACAACAACAACAAAACCUUGUGUUUUAUUUUUUUCUGUAAACCAACAAAGAUACUAGCCACAGAAGGCCAAAACCAACAACACAAACCCUCUACCAACCAACCAAUCAACCAUCCAACAACAACAGCAGCAACCAUAACAAUUACCCAAACAACUGCAACAACAGCAGCAAACAUUAGCAAAAAGAAUCAGUUCAAGGUCUCGUUGGAAAUUCAAUAUAUAUGUAUAUAGUCAACAACACACAACAACAACAACGGUGAUAGAGCGAACGAACGAACCAACGACUGUGAAGUGUUUCAGUUCAUUGUUUGGUUUUCACCGUAUUUGUCUAUAAAAGAAGGAAGAGGAGCAGCCAAGGCAAAAUAGAUUGCACAUCAGCGUAUUUUCGCAAAGAAAUAAUAACAAGAAAGAAACAAAAACUACAACAGAACUGCAACGCCACCGCAAUUGGUGGGGACCCAAACAAAUGACGAGAAGAUUCUAAUGAGUUCUCUUCAUUUGUGGAAAUAAACUGGACCUUUGACAGACAUCAAAUGCAGACGCUUGGAUAGCCUGUCAAAUAAGAACGUUGUAGUUGGUUGGUACUGAAAUAAAGGAUAAUUAAACCAAACUAUAAUUAAGACUUGUCCAAAUCCAAUUAUCGUCGGCGAAUGCACUCCAACUAUCCACGCCGGAGAGUAGCGCGCUAAAUUGUAAACAAGUUCCAAGUGGACACAAAGAACUUCAAUGAAUUUUAGUAGUUUGAAAACAAAGAGGAUACGUGAUUACAUGUUUCCCAUGUCUCGUUGUAUUUAUUGAAAGCUGAAGGAUAUCAACCGGAAAGUGUUUAUCAACAACAACAACAAGAACCUCUACAGGAAAAUUGCUUCCUUUGUUUGGUCAUUUUGAAAAAACCAAACAAAAACCUCAAAUACAGUUCGCUGUGGCUUUUUUUUCGGUUUUGCUCUGGAGAGCAGCAGAUAACAAACAAAAAGCAAAUAGCGACAGUCUGUCUGGCUGGCUGGACAGCGUCUAGUUGCAUCAAUCUAAACUAAAGUGAUAUUCAACAACGUCAACACAAAGUGACAUCGAUUAAAGGUGUAGUGAGAGUGAGUGUGGGAGAGUGGAAAUUGCAGAGUGUGGCUGUGUUUGACACAAAAACGCAUACAACAAAAAGAGAUUGAAACGAAAUUUUUAAACGGUCAUCUUGUGUAAACAAAUCUGUCGAAAAUUGUAUACAAUCAAUACGACGACACACAGAAGAGCAAAACAAAAAUUUAAAACCGCCAACAAAGAAAGAGGAAGCAUUUUGCCCCCAAAAAGAUUCAACAACAAAAAAUCAAACAAAGACUUUACAACAAACUACAAACCAACAACACACCUCUCUCUUUCUCUCUUAAAAAUGGUGAAAACAUUUCAAGCCUAUUUACCGUCCACAAAUCGGACCUAUUCAUGUGUUCAUUGCCGAGCUCAUUUGGCCUCACACGAUGAGCUUAUCUCAAAAUCAUUUCAGGGUAGUCAAGGACCAGCAUACCUCUUUAAUUCCGUGGUCAAUGUCGGCUGUGGCCAGACGGAAGAAAGGGUACUGUUAACCGGCCUACACGCCGUGGCCGAUAUUUACUGUGAAUGCUGUAAAACUCCGCUGGGUUGGAAGUACGAGCAUGCCUACGAGUCGAGUCAAAAGUAUAAAGAAGGCAAAUAUAUAAUCGAACUGGCCCAUAUGAUCAAGGAGAACGGUUGGGAUUGAACAAUGGCGUCAGCGAUAGCAGUGAACGUUUAUCGAAUGUCGAAUGUUCUGUAAAAUGUAUGGAAGGCAGCAGCAACAGCAUCAGCAACAGCAGCAAUGGAUGAACGCAACAGCAAAAGAAGGAAAUGCAGAUACAUUAUUGCUAAGACUAAGAACAAGAAUAACAAAACAAAAACAAAAUAACAACGAUGGGACGUGAUAAACGACGGCCGGCAAUGUUGCGCACUGGUUCGGGGAGAUAUAGUGGCUGGGAGUUUAGUAUUAUAAAAAACAAACUCAUUAAAAACAACAACAACGCCAUAUACCUACAUGAUCAACAUUUCUAAAUCAACAACAACAUCAACAUCCACCACAAUAUAGCAAAAGAAAAUGUAACAGCAACUUAACAUAUUAAAGCGCCAGCGGAAAAAUAGUUACAACAAGUAAAUAGUUUAAAUGUAAACACAGCAAGAAAAACGUACAUACCUAUAUAAUAGAUACAUAUACACCUACAUAAAUCAUACUGCGAGUAGGCUGAUCAACUGGAGUGAUAGCAAAUUAAGUGAACAAAAAACCAGUAAGGAAAGCUCAAAAGUC